GUGGAGCAUGUGGCUUAAUUUGACUCAACGCGGGGAAUCUUACUAGGUCCGGACCGAUUCUAUGAUCGUCGUACUGUGGGGUGCUACGUGAUUACUGGAUGAGUGGUGCAUGGCCGUUCUUAGUUCGUGGUGUUAAUUGUCUACUUAAUUGUCAUCAGUUUAAUACAUGUAUUGAACUAUGAACGAACGAGAUCGAGACCCGUGGUUGCGUGUGUUUGAAUUCGGUAUUACUACGGGGAUCGCGUAUUACUCCACGGUACGAUCGAAAGACUCGGCAAUAACAGGUCUGUGAUGCCCUCAGAUGUUCUAGGCUGCACACGUGCUACAGUGUGGUUCUGUUCAUAUGUGUAUGCGUAGACUUGAGAUCCCCCGCACCGAGUCAUAACUGGUCACACGGUUGGACUCACCGAUUGACAAUUAUUCGGUAUCUUAA
rnacentral:rRNA from 1 species